AAUUUGGACAUGUCCCUUUUUCUUAAACUUUGUUGCAUAAAAUCAAAUCGAGAGAUUUGAAAAGAGAUAUAACAUAAAAGAGACAAGGGGAAAGGAGCAGCGAAACAAAACUAAAAUGCAAGAGAAACAAAAAUUCGUUAAAAAAGUCAAAAUGGAAGACAGUUGUUUCUUGUCACAGUUUUUUCUCUGCAAACAUAUUAUGUCCCAAAUGCGAGCUGCAAAAUGUGUCUUCUCUGCUGCUACAACACAGCAGCCGAAGCCUUUCCAAAGCUAUGCCACGUAGUGAGAGAGGGAGAGAGAAAGCAGCUACUUUUUCAUCUCUCCAAAAUGGCUGAGGGCCGGGGGAAAGAAGCUAUAAGCAGAGAGUGAGAGUGGUGCUCCCCGUCCUGCUCAGAGGAGGGCUGGGGAAUUCAGCGAGCAUCUCUCCCUCGUUUCCCUCUCCUCACUCAUUGCCCUUCGUCCCAUUGGCCGUCUUUCAGACCAGACGAAUGGCGUACAGCUGUGUUGUCAGACCAUAAGAAACUCUACUUGGCUCACCAUACAGAGGAAGGCUACGACUGUAAACGAAGUGCUGUACUUAUAUGACAUGGGUCUCCACAAAACACUUCUCGCUUGCGGAAUAUUUCCAUUAGAGGAAUGACCCUACCAGCGAGGCUAUUGCCAAGAACCCUGUCACAGUGUGGACACAGAGAAGGGCCUCUCCAAAAACAGAAGGUUGAAGAAAACAGUGACCGACAUGGGCAUAACCCCAAACCUCUAACAAGGUAACCCCUUAAAGCCACUCUCAGAGCCUGGGAAAGCAAAGAAGAGCAAGUGGGCUGCCAACAAUGGGCAACAGUCGUUACCACAUAUUUUUGUACGACGACAUCAUGUCAAUGCAGAAAAUGCAGUGACAACAAAGCAAAAGAUUCAGGCCCCAGUAACAUAGGUUAUCAUUGUAUGUUAAUGUUAUAGUUAUAUUUGUUUACUAGCUUCUUACACUAUGUGUCCUCAUUACUGUCCAUGUUGCAGCCAUGGUCCUAUGGUAGCUGUACCCUCCUCCUUUCCCCUCUCUCAAAAGGUUUCAUUCUAAAUUCCUAUUGAAAUGACAUUAGCUAAUAAUUUACUUAGUGAUGUAAUACUGUUCACAUUAAAUAUUUAUUAAUGCAGUGUGACAGGUGCUACUGGCAAAGGAAUGAAAUCUUUACUCCCUCCAUCAGUGUGGUGGCCUAAAUGUUGCAUCUCAUGCUGCAGUAUUUCUUGACAUUAAACAGUCUUAAAACAUUGUCAUUGAGGUGUCACUGCAGCAUGGAUAUGACGUCUUGCACAAAAUUUCAGCUUGCUUGUAAUUCUGUAAGGCACUCCCUACUUUCUAGUUUUAUAACAACGUGUUAUAAGGAUGUGUGGUGUCCUUUAGACAGACACUUAAACUGUGGGAGUGUAAUCUCAUCAUCAGACUACUGUAACAUAAAUAAACCCAUCUAAAAUUCCUUCA